AAAAGUCAGACGCCAGUCUUUAG
rnacentral:piRNA from 1 species